rnacentral:rRNA from 1 species
CCUACGGGAGGCAGCAGUGAGGAAUAUUGGUCAAUGGGCUUACGCCUGAACCAGCCAAGUCGCGUGAGGGAAGACUGCCCUAUGGGUUGUAAACCUCUUUUGUCAGGGAGCAACGCGGGCCACGUGUAGGCUGCCUUAGAGUCCCUGAAGAAAAAGCAUCGGCUAACUCCGUGCCAGCAGCCGCGGUAAUACGGAGGAUGCGAGCGUUCUCCGGAUUUAUUGGGUUUAAAGGGUGCGUAGGCGGCAUGCCAAGUCAGCGGUAAAAUUGCGGGGCUCAACCUCGCUCAGCCGUUGAAACUGGCGUUCUUGAGUGGGCGAGAAGUAGGCGGAAUGCGUGGUGUAGCGGUGAAAUGCAUAGAUAUCACGCAGAACUCCGAUUGCGAAGGCAGCAUACCGGCGCCCAACUGACGCUGAAGCACGAAAGCGUGGGUAUCGAACAGGAUUAGAUACCCUGGUAGUC